rnacentral:rRNA from 1 species
AUUGAACGCUGGCGGCAUGCCUUACACAUGCAAGUCGAACGGUAACGCGGGGCAACCUGGCGACGAGUGGCGAACGGGUGAGUAAUGCAUCGGAACGUGCCCAGAAGUGGGGGAUAUCCCGUCGAAAGCCGGAUUAAUACCGCAUGAGACCUGAGGGUGAAAGCGGGGGAUCGCAAGACCUCUCGCUUUUUGAGCGGCCGAUGUCAGAUUAGCUAGUUGGUGUGGUAAAGGCCUACCAAGGCGACGAUCUGUAGCUGGUCUGAGAGGACGACCAGACACACGGGGACUGAGACACGGCAAAGACGCCUACGGGAGGCAGCAGUGGGGAAUGUUGGACAAUGGGCGAAAGCAUGAUAGAGCAAUGCCGCGUGCGGGAAGAAGGCCUUCGGGUUGUAAAACGCUUUUGUCAGGGAAGAAACGAUGUGGGCUAAUACCCUGGGGUAAUGACGGUACCUGAAGAAUAAGCACCGGCUAACUACGUG